GAUGAACGCUGGCGGCGUGCCUAAUACAUGCAAGUCGAGCGAACAGACGAGGAGCUUGCUCCUCUGACGUUAGCGGCGGACGGGUGAGUAACACGUGGAUAACCUACCUAUAAGACUGGGAUAACUUCGGGAAACCGGAGCUAAUACCGGAUAAUAUAUUGAACCGCAUGGUUCAAUAGUGAAAGACGGUUUUGCUGUCACUUAUAGAUGGAUCCGCGCCGCAUUAGCUAGUUGGUAAGGUAACGGCUCACCAAGGCAACGAUGCGUAGCCGACCUGAGAGGGUGAUCGGCAACUGGGGAACAGAGACACGAUACAGAAUCCUAAGGGAGGCAGAAGGAGGGGAUGGAGAGAAAUGGGCGAAAGACUGAAGGAGCAAAGAGGAGUGAGUGAGGAAGGUCUGAGGAUAGUAAAACGCUGUUAGUAGCGAUGAACAAAGGUGUAAGGAACGAUGCAGGCCAUGAAGGUACAGAAUAAGUAAGACAAGGCUAACUACGUG
rnacentral:rRNA from 1 species